AGAUAAGGCAAAAGUCUUCGAUCAAAACAAGAGUAAUGUUUAUAGUGAUAGUGAAACGGGUUGUUGGUGCUGGUCAUGCGUAUUGAUUAGGCGAUAUUAGAGUUCGUGGGUAUGCAGCCAACUUGAACACUGCAGCAGCUGGUGCGGCAUACCAACCAACGAUGGGUAUUUGCCUCCAAUUCGGAAAUAAAAUAAACGAGUCUACCUUUAUUGGAUGGCGGUGGCGAGGGCAAUGCGAUGACGAUCUGAGUUUUUUAUGGAUUACAAGCGGUCUACAAUGUAGCGAAGAUCAAUAAUCUGCUUUCGCUAAGUGUUAGUCAACAACAAUAAGAACAACCAUAAGCUAAAGUGGAAUAUUCUAAUAAACUAAAUGAGUUAACGAA